GGAGUUGCAGUGGGGCCCCCACAGUGGGAGAAGCAGCUCCCUCUCACUGUGAGAUCAGAAGAGAUUGGGGGUGAUGAUUUCUACCUUCUGGGGACUGCGGUGCGUGGCUUCCAUAUCCAAGUCCCUGGCUUCCCAGGAGGGGCCCUGGUGGGGCUGCAGCCAUGGUGACCAGAGGAUACCUUGAAGCUGAAAAGCCACACAGACCUGGGUUUGCAUGUAUCUUGGCAUGGCCACCUACCAGCUGGGUUAUGCUGGUGACUUCCCUGAGCCUCAGUUUCCACAUUGACAGUAACAAUCCCUCAAGGUGCUAACCAGGCUGUUGGAAGGGGUACCAAAGCCAAGGCCUGGCCAAGGGUGGGAAUGCCUGUAUCCCACGACCUUCAGGCAAGUGGCCGGCUUUGCCUACAUGGCUCCUCUGCACACAGUGGGGGCUGAACCCUUGGUGUCUGAGAGCCACGCAAACAGCCUUUCCAGAACUACCCCGGUUCCUGCCAGGCGAGGAGUGGCUGUCAGGAAGGGUCCCCAGGGGAAACACAAGCCUCUGGGCUAGCCUGGGCUACAAGCACAGUCUGUCGGAGCAGCACUGCACUCCUGCCCUCCCUGCCCCGAUUCAACAGCAGGAGCUUGGGGAGGGGCCCUCAUGGCAGGCUAACACCAGCAGGUUUGGCAGAACCCAGCCCAGGGCACAGCUUCCGUCACUCAGGGCUGACUCUGCCGCCAUGUUCCCCGGAUGCCGGAGCUGCAGAAAGGAAUCGUGACCAACCCCAGGGGGUUGUGCUUCUCAUAAAACAAUUCAUUAGGCACUUAAACUUGGAGCUGUUCUGAUGGCUUCGUAAACACAGAUGAGCCUCUGAUGUCUGAUAAAAGACUGUGCAAGACGGCAGCCAGCUGAGACGCUCAUUAUCUCGGAAAAGCCAAAACUGCUUAUUCAAGACAAAGCAGUUUUGGUCUCGGGUAGGGAGGCAGUGCCUGGGAAGCCUCGGGCAGUGGCUUCUGGGAGGGACAGGGAAAUACAAACGCAUUAUUAUGUCA